UACAGAGGUCUCAAGCGUUGUUCGGAUUCAUUGGGCGUAAAGGGCGCGUAGGCUGCGGGGCAAGUCGGGUGUGAAAUCUCAGAGCUCAACUCUGAAACUGCACUCGAUACUGCUUUGCUUGAGGACUGGAGAGGAGAUUGGAAUUCACGGUGUAGCAGUGAAAUGCGCAGAUAUCGGGAGGAACACCAGUGGCGAAGGCGGCACUCUGGGCCGGUACUGACGCUGAGGAGCGAAAGCGUGGGGAGCGAACAGG
rnacentral:rRNA from 1 species